CACUAGAAGAGAAAGACUUUUAGCAAUACCUGCCCAGUGCGAAAUAUUACUGUAAACGGCCGCCCUAGCGUGAGGGUGCUAAGGUAGCGAAAUUCCUUGCCUUUUGAUUGUAGGCCUGCAUGAAUGGUUUAACGAGGGUUUAACUGUCUCUUGAUUUAAAAUUGAAAUUGUACUGAAGGUGAAGAUACCUUCAUUAAAAAGUCAGACAAAAAGACCCCGUGCAACUUUGAAAAUUAACUUUAUUCAGAAGUGAAAGAUUUUUAGGUGGGGCGCCUAGAAAGUAAAUCUAACCUUUCUGAACAUUUAGCUCUUUCCGGACUUGACCCGAUUAUAUUCGAUCAUAGGAGAAGUUACGCCGGGGAUAACAGGCUAAUCCUUUAGUAGAGCUCGUAUUGGCUAAAGGGAUUGGCACCUCGAUGUUGAAUCAGGGAUGAUAGCUUCAAGGCGUAGAGGCUUUGAGAGUAGGUCUGUUCGACCUUUAAUACCCU
rnacentral:rRNA from 1 species